rnacentral:rRNA from 1 species
UCCGGUGGCCAUGGCGGCGGGGAUACACCCGUUCCCAUUCCGAACACGGCAGUUAAGCCCGCCAGCGCCGAUGGUACUUGGGGGGUGACCCCCUGGGAGAGUAGGACGCCGCCGGAU